GGGGCUAGAGAGAUGGCUUAGAGGU
rnacentral:piRNA from 1 species